rnacentral:rRNA from 1 species
AGAGUUUGAUUCUGGCUCAGGACGAACGCUGGCGGCGUGCUUAACACAUGCAAGUCAACGGGGAUAGUUGAUUGAGAGCUUCGGCAGGAAAUUGAUUAAUCGAGUGGCGGACGGGUGAGUAACGCGUGAGCAACCUGUCCCAGACAGGGGGAUAACACUUGGAAACAGGUGCUAAUACCGCAUAAGACCACGGGAUCACAUGGUUCCGGGGUAAAAGGAGCAAUCCGGUUUGGGGUAGGCUCGCGUCCGAUUAGCCAGUUGGCGGGGUAACGGCCCACCAAAGCGACGAUCGGUAGCCGACCUGAGAGGGUGAUCGGCCACAUUGGGACUGAGAUACGGCCCAGACUCCUACGGGAGGCAGCAGUGGGGAAUAUUGGGCAAUGGAGGAAACUCUUACCCAGCAAAUGCCGCGUGAAUGAUGAAGGUCGUAAGAUUGUAAAGUUCUUUAGUCAGGGACAAAGAAAGUGAUGGUACCUGAAGAAUAAGCUCCGGCUAACUACGUGCCAGCCGCAGC